ensembl:lncRNA
GAGAGAGAGAGAGAGAGAGAGGGGGAGUUGAGAGAGAGGUUAGAGACAGAUAGAGAGACAGAGAGAGAGAGAGGGAGAGAGAGAGGGAAUUGAGAGAGAGAGGUUAGAGACAGAGAGUGAGGGGAAGGAAACACCACAUAAAGAGACAGAAGAGAGCCCUUCCUGGAACUCUCCAGUCCUCUCUGACUGCCGUCGCUCGCUGAGGGAGAAAGACAGCAGUGUUUUAAAGAGGAACAGAGUACCUGGUUGUCAUUCUGCUGAGGGCUGAGACAAACAGAGGAGAAGAAGACAUGUCUGGUCAUUUACUAAGGAGAAACUCCAGCAAGGAAGGUCUGCAGAACCUGCUCAGGGUGACGGCCCAGCGCAGUAUUGAGGAUGCUGAGGAGAUAGAGCGGGAACGGAGACGAAGGGCCAGGGAGAGACAGGGAGACCAGGACCCACACACCCACACUGGCCCAGCCAGCACCACCAGCCCCACACCAGACAAUGGGCUCCCGGAGCUAUAUCCAAUGUAAGUCACAAAGCUGAAUGGAGGCUAACAGCCAACACUUUCCUGCUGUAGAAUCCUACAAUAGAACAUGCUGCUCUGGUUAUCGUAGACUGCACCAGGGUGUAAGACGAGACAUCCC